rnacentral:rRNA from 1 species
UACGGAGGGUGCAAGCGUUAUCCGGAUUUACUGGGUUUAAAGGGUGCGUAGGUGGGUCUGUAAGUCAGUGGUGAAAUCUUCGAGCUUAACUCGGAAACUGCCAUUGAUACUAUAGGUCGGUAGGGGAGUGUGGAUUUCCUGGUGGAGCGGUGAAAUGCGCAGAUAUCAGGAGGAACACCAAUUGCGAAGGCAGCUCGCUGGGACGUUACUGACGCUGAGACGCGAAAGCGUGGGGAGCAAACAGG